rnacentral:lncRNA from 10 species
UUGUGUCAGUGAUAAAUGCUGCUUUGCUGUGCUACACCGAGUACAAGGUAGUGAUAAGACAUGACUGGGAAGCAGUUACCAGAGACAAGCAAGGAUAGGGCUUUGAAUGCAUCCUCUGCUGGUGGCUUCUGUAGUUAUGCAUAAAAUUUACUCUGACCUGUUUACUUUUAUAGCCUGUCUUUACUUUGUUUCUUUUAAUAUUAUACAUGUUUAGGCUAUGCUUUUUCUUUAAAUAUGUGAGCAAAUCUAUUGGUGUAAUGUACUCAUUACCCUAAAACCUAUAUUAUAAUGGACCCGAAUACCAUAAGGUAGAAGAUCAGAAGAAAAAGAAAAUGCAUACAUUUUUAUCUUUAAAACAAUUCACUUUUAAGAUUAUUUUCUUGAAAGGUAUACGUUUGAUGGAGCUGAAUCUAGUUCCUUCAGGCAGAUAUAAUAGGAUACAAUAGGAUAGGACUUCUUGGGUAAAAAAGGUGUAGUAAUCUGUGAGACUCAUGGGAAGGAGAAAGGAAAUUAUUAAUUAAUUUGGCUGAGGCCAGGGUAGUAAGCAGAUUCAUUAUAAAUUCUGGCAGCAGAGGAAUACUUGAGAAAUGCUUAUAAAGUUAGAUCAUCUAUUUUUCCAAGCAAAUUCUUCAUGUCAUUCCACCUUGUAAAAACUUUGUGGAAAAGAAUAAGCACAUGAAUGAGCAAUGAAUAGACUUUGCAUUAGAUUGGUAAUCUUGCUACUAGUACAUUAAUUUACUUGUAUUACUGAUAUUUUAAGAUAGGAUUUUUACAGAUGUUUAUAUAUUUUUUAAAAGCCUAUUUUUUUCUUUACCCAUUUUCUCAAUUUUUUUAACCUCGAAAACUUUUUCCUCCCUGAGAGAAAUACAUGGGCUAUCUUCAGCAUAGAACACAAACUCUGCCUUCUUUUCUCAAGUCCAGUGAUUCAAGUUUGACACACCACACCACGGUGGAUGUGCCUUGUCAUGACACAUCUCAGCAGCACUAGAAGAUACAUCCAAAGUCCUGUGAGCAAGGUCUGUGGUAUCUGUUUAUUAUGGCAGCCCAGUAAGACUAAGACAGGCCAUCACAAGACGUGAACGUUUUGGACCUUCUCUUGGGCCCUAGUAAACAGAAAUCAGGCUAUUUAUUAAACUAAUCCACGUUCUGAACAGUUAUUGCUACUGGAAACCAGUCCCGAUCCAGACCACAAAAGACGAUUCUUGGAUCUUGCACAAGAAAGAAAGGCAUGAGGCCCUCACCAGAUACAGCCACCUGAUCUUGGACUUCACAGCCUCCAGAAAUAUGCCCUGGAAUACACUUGUGUCAGUGACAAAUGCUGCUUUGCUGUGCUACAUCGAGUACAAGAAAUACAUGGGCUAUCUUCAGCACAGAACACAAACUCUGCCUUCUUUUCUCAAGUCCAGUGAUUCAAGUUUGACACACCACACCACGGUGGAUGUGCCUUGUCAUGACACAUCUUCUCAGCAGCACUAGAAGAUACAUCCAAAGUCCUGUGAGCAAGGACACAGCGAGAAGAUGGCUGUCUACAAGCCAGGAAGAGAGUCCUCACCAGAACCAAACCCUGCUGGACUUUGAUCUUGGACUUCCCAGCCUCUAAAACUGUGAAGACAUAAAUUUCUGUUGUUAAACCCACACAGGUCUGUGGUAUCUGUUUAUUAUGGCAGCCCAGUAAGACUAAGACAGGCCAUCACAAGACAUGAAUGUUUUGGACCUUCUCUUGGGCCCUAGUAAACAGAAAUCAGGCUAUUAAACUAAUCCACGUUCUAAACUGUUAUUGCUACUGGAAAAUGGUCCCGAUCCAGACCCCAAAAGAGGAUUCUUGGAUCUUGCACAAGAAAGAAAGGGCUCCAUGAGCAGAAGAUCAGAGGAGCAGAAGAGUGGUGCAGCAGAGAAGGAGAGAAGAGAAGGAAUGUCUAAAUGUCAAGAGGAGUUCAGCUGGGGACAGUUGGAGAGGAGAUAGGCCAUGGAAGAGCCAAACUCUAGGGGAAGAUCAUCUUUCCACUCCAUCCCCUUUCCAGCUCUCCAUCCAUCCCACUGACAGCCACCUCCACCACUCAAUAAAAGUCCCAUAUUCACCAUCCUUCAAGUCUGUGUGUGACCUGAUUCUUCCUGGACACCGGACAAGGAUCUGGAUACCAAGAGGUCACUGAGCUGAUUAACACUUAAGCCAUCUGUGGACAGCAGAGCUAAG